GAUGAACGCUGGCGGCGUGCUUAACACAUGCAAGUCGAACGGAAAGGCUCCUGCUUGCAGGGGUACUCGAGUGGCGAACGGGUGAGUAACACGUGGGUGAUCUGCCCUGCACUUCGGGAUAAGCCUGGGAAACUGGGUCUAAUACCGGAUAGGACGAUGGUUUGGAUGCCAUUGUGGAAAGUUUUUCGGUGUGGGAUGAGCUCGCGGCCUAUCAGCUUGUUGGUGGGGUAAUGGCCUACCAAGGCGUCGACGGGUAGCCGGCCUGAGAGGGUGUACGGCCACAUUGGGACUGAGAUACGGACCAGACUCCUACGGGAGGCAGCAGUGGGGAAUAUUGCACAAUGGGCGCAAGCCUGAUGCAGCGACGCCGCGUGGGGGAUGACGGCCUUCGGGUUGUAAACUCCUUUCGCUAGGGACGAAGCGCAAGUGACGGUACCUGGAGAAGAAGCACCGGUUAACUACGUG
rnacentral:rRNA from 1 species